AUGGCAUCUUCCUUCUUCUAUUCUGAGUCUGAUGUCAGAUUGCCACUUAAAACUAACCUAACCUACAGACAAGCUGGUUCUUCGAAAUAAGGUUGAAAUAAUCAAGAUUAAUGUGUUAUUUUGUGGUUUUAUACAGUUGUGUCAGUGGAAUGUCAACCCCCGGUGAUGGGGUGACCUAGACAUUUAAAUUGGUCUUUUCAAAUUUGUAUUCUUUUCUCGUUAUGAAAACAUUUCACAACACAGCAGUUUUUUUGGUAAAAGAAAAACUAUCGUUGCUGCUUGUGCCUGGUGCCCUUAUCACAAUACAGCAAAACCAAGUUAAAGCACGUUUUAGCUACGGGAUGCAUAUUACUUGCACUCAAAAUUCAAAAGAACGAGGGCUAUGUUUCGAGCAAGGCGGAUACUUAACGGAAAGAAUGGCCAUGUGGCAAUAUCUGGACACGGAUGACACUUCCGCAUGUACCUACACAGAAUGGGAAAUGCAGCUCACCAUUCUGGUGGAUGAUGCAGAGCACAUGGUCUUCCCCUGCCACCAAUGGUGCGACAGCCGGCCUGGACAAAAGAGCAGAUCGGUGAAAUAAGAGUGGGGAAGAAAGAGACCUUGCCGCGAGUUCAAUGAUAUAGACACUACUAUAUGGAGAGAGCUUAAACUUAAAUCGGACUGCACUCAUUGAUAGAUAAGCAGUUUGCCCCUGUUCCUUAGUGGAAUGUUCAUGGGCAAAUUUGUAAUAUGGAUAGGGCCCCUAGACACAGAACUACUGAGACGCAAAGCGUAAGUGCCACCUGGGGAUCCACCUCGAUGUAAUGCGAUAGCGGUGACGAUGUGGUUUACAUAUCCCAAGAUAUAAGGUGGUUUUUUAGAGUUGGGAAGUUCCGGAUGGUACUAGUUCAUUGGAACUUAUCCAAGUAUGCAACUGCUGGAACUCAUCUCUUAGUUCCAUAGUUCCUUUUUUUGCAUGUACACUUUUCUGUUGCUCCCCUUUGUUAAUUUUUAAACCAGCUGAUUGACAUGUCAUAUUUUAAGCUUCAUACAACAACUAAAUAAAGGCGUCAACUUUUGUAAUGGACAACAACUGUGUACGUUGUGAUUUAGGUGAAAGGAGAAUAAAUUGUUUGUGGCAACCACAUUAAAUGAAUGUGAUGGCACAAAUAUAGAAACGUGGUGGCAUCCACAUUUUUUUUUUAUUGUCAACAAAUCUAAAUUGUUUUGAUGCGCUUCGAUUCGUGCUUUUUAUUCAGCAUCGAGACUCAAUACGUGUUUAAAACAAAGUACAAAAAAUGAAUUUUAAAAUCAAUUACGGAAUCAGUCGGAAUAUGACUCUAAAAAGGGGAUCGCAAAUGAAAAAUGAUCUAUGGAACUAAGAAAAGGAACUAGUUCCUUUUGUGGAACCUAACUAAAAGGAGCGAUCAAUAAAAGGAACUAAAAUGCCCACCUCUAGUGGUUUUUAGCCGCUAGAGACUGAGCUCGGCAUACGGCGAGAGGUGACGGCCAUCGUUACAUGCUUAAUGCAUUUUCCCACCUUAAGGGUUGCUAUUCUCUAUUCGGCUUUUCAAGUGAACACAUGUCAAACUCCAUAUAAAAAGAACGUAUACGCUAAAAACAUGGGAAAUAUAUGCAUUUUUUACGCUAAUGGCUUAAAAUGAGCACUUAGAAACAAUUAAUCCUAGUGUAAUAUGAAAAAAAAUAUAAAAUUGUAUUUUGUUAAAGUUUUUUGCAACUACUCCGAAAGAUGAACAGAAUAUUCAGCUUUAGACUGGUCCUAUAUUCGCUUUUCGCUUAUUUUAAUUCCAUCACUACUUAUGGCAAAAUUUAAAUAAAAUCGUUAUAUUAUCAGUGUUA
rnacentral:sRNA from 1 species